CUUCCAUACUAACUAGUACAUCUUAAAC
rnacentral:other from 19 species